GGAACCCGCCAGGCUCAGAGCUGCAGCACUGGGGCAGGGACUCAGUGGGCCAGGUAGGAUCCAGUCCCAGAGAAACGGGACAGCAGGGCUGUGUGGUGUCCAAAGGUGGAGAACUUUCAUCAGAGGCUGAAACCUAGAGGAGGAAGAACCACAUCAUGGGAACACAAGGAGGGAUAUGGAGCUGAGAGCCGGUGCUGUCAGAGUUCUCCUGGUCUGAGUGUGUUCCUCUCCUGAGAGUCUCAGGAGAUGGCUGCAGGAGCAGUGGCUGGAUCCAUCCCUGUGCUGUGCUUGGACGGUGACAAAUCUGCUGCUACACUGGGCAGUAGCAGUAGUUUGGCAGUGAUUUGGCUUAAUUGCCAUGUGCGCAGCAGUGGUGCAUGUGGUCAGCAUCCCUGAACUCACAUCCAUGAAGAUUUCUGGUGCCAUGGCAACAUCCCCUGCUGCUUUGAAUGUGAAGAGCUUCAGCCAUUUUUGAUUCACCCCAAAUUUGAAGAGCUUUAGCCAUGUCUGGUCAAAGUCCCUUGUGCUCACAAGUCCAAACAACAGGACUCAGUAGGGAGCCCCCAAGAGUGGUAGACUUGGUAGACCUCUACCUGUAGACCUAGGCUGGCUGCAGCAUACCUCAAGAUAGAUGGGUCAGUUCUGGGAGCAAGGCAGGAUUCUAGGUAUGGUGGAACUCAGUGGUGUGUUUCCACUGAACCUCAUCCUCUCCUAGUGGCACUGGCCACACCAUUCUCUUCCCACUGGGACUCAUCCAGAUUUAUUUUAGUCCCCGUUGGAGAUUCAAGUGAGGUGUUAAGACUGAGCCCACACCUAGGAGCUUGGGGAAUCCCACAGGGCAGAACCAAGGUCAACCUACCCAGCAAGUCUGGCUAAGAAUUUUCCUUUGGAGAAGAAUUAUCUUCUCUGUAUUCAGGAUUAGUGCUGGAGAAACCAGAGUACAAUUAAAUAACUCUCAAACUCUUAGUUCUAAGA